CUGAGGGGGAUGAGAGGAAGAAAAGAGAAGUUCUUUCUGGAAUGGAUGGGACUGGAAUAGAGUCAUUGCCGAGAUGGGGCAGCCACCUACCUUUCAGAUGGGUGCAGUACAUGCUCUAGAAUUAAGGACAAACUGUGGGGAGAACCAAAGUUUUCUCUAGUUCUGCCCUUUAACCUGUUCCCAAGCUAAUCUGUUCUGGAAGGAGACUGUCUCAGAUGUCACACCAAGGUGCAGAUGGAAAGCUCUUGAUGUUUUUAUUUACGUUUUGCCUGCAUAUAUGUCUACAGUUAAUGUGUCUGGUACAGGUCAGAGGGAGGGCAUCAGAUCCCCUGGAAGUGGAAUUACAGGUGUGUGAGAGCCUCGGUGUGGGUACUGGUCCCAAAUCCUCCAGCAGAGCAGCCAGUGCUGUCAACAGCCAGGCCAUCUUUCCACCCCUAGAAAGCUGCAAUAACAGCCAGUGCUGUCAAUAGUCAGACCAUCUUUCCACCCCUAGAAAGCUGCAAUAACAGCAUUCUUUAUUUUAAAAAUGAUGUUAGUUACAUGUGACUGUGGCAGUCUGCUUUCAUAAUACAUGCUAUACACUAUUUACUCUGUAGUUACUGUGUGUUUCAAAACAGGAAGUAGACAUACAAGAUUCUGAUUAGCACGGCAUCAGAACACUCACACCCGAGACUCAAUGCUCUUGACUUGGGAGCUUUCCACUUCUGACUUCUCUUGUAGAUUUUCUUUAUAGUCUGUCCUUGAACUCCCCAUCUUAACUCUCAUUCACUAUUUUAGCACUCUUCUUUCCUUUGGUCUCAUCACCAGGCAUGCCUUAAUGCUUAAUGAUGCUUAACUUUUGUAUUUCUAGUUCUGACUUUUGUGCAGCCUAGAUAUCCAAACUAACAUGUUCCCCCUCUGGAUGUCUCUAAAGCAAAUAAAACCCUUUCUGCCCCCAGAUAAACCAGCCUUCUGUUCCUCACCCUUCUCCCUAUUCUAAUAUUGUAUUCUCUGUCUAAUGAACUACUUCACCAGCCAGUGAGGAAAAAAAGAAGCAUUCUGGAUUCUCCUCAUUUCUUGUUUCUCAGUUGAGUCAAGCAUUGUGUAGCUAUCCUGUUUGGAGCACCCCACAGGACCAUCCUCUCCUGCUCCUGGAGUCUACUAGCCCACAGGCUGACCCCUCUCCUAUCUUGCUCUUGCUAGAUUUAAUAAAUACUAAAUAAAUGUUGAAUGAAGACAUAGGCAUGGAAGUAGAGUGUAUUAAAAUAAAAAAAUCUCUGCCUGUUUGACUUGUGCAUGAACUCCCCUAUCGUAUAUUUCUCCAGCUGAGCUUUCAGAGCUAACCCUUGCUUCCUUGGAGGUCCAUCUGGGUAGGUCAUUCACUGUGCCGGUUUUCUGAAGUUAGUGUUACUCUCCCAUCCAUUACGUUAGCUCUGUAGCCUGACUGUGUUUCCUCUCCACCUUAUAUGAUGCUAUCUGGUUCUUUAUGUCUGAUACUGAAAUAAAUGUUGCCCAGGAAAAGGCCACGGGUGUCUCACUCUGGCCUCAUCUUCAGUAAAAACUGCUUGCGUAUAUACAACUUUGCAGAAUUAAAAUUUCACCCUUGAAAAUCUUCUCUUUGGUGUGGACAGAAAUUUCACACACAAUUAUCUACAGCGCUGAACCUUGGCUAUGGUGUUCGUUCAUAAGCAGUCCCAUGACCCCACAGAAAUACAGAUGACUUUGUGCCAGCUCAUUUUUAGGAUAUUGCUAGCUAUAUUUAAGACAUUAAAACCUUUAUUUUCUUUUAGACUAUUACUGAGUUAACAAAACAGCUUUUGGAAUCUGAAUGAUUGGAAAAUAAAAUAUGGUGUAGUUAUUUCACAGGGGGUAUCACUGUGUGUUCUACUGGGGCAUAAGUGUGCUUCUGUCCGAUCAAAUUCCAUAGCCAUUGAAGAAAGGAACUCUGUCUCAUCAGUUUGAGUGCUUGGUCAACAAGGAGUGGCACUACUUGCCGGAGAUUAGGAGGUGUGGCCUUGUUGUUGUAGGUGUGGCCUUGUUGGAGUAGGUGUGGCCUUGCUGGAGGAGGUGUGGCCUUGCUGGAGGAGGUGUGGCCUUGCUGGAGGAGGUGUGGCCUUGCUGGAGGAGGUGUGGCCUUGCUGGAGGAGGUGUGGCCUUGCUGGAGGAGGUGUGGCCUUGCUGGAGGAGGUGUGGCCUUGUUGGAGGAGGUGUGGCCUUGUUGGUGGAGGUGUGGCCUUGUUGGUGGAGGUGUGGCCUUGCUGGAGGAGGUGUGGCCUUGCUGGAGGAGGUGUGGCCUUGUAGAGGAGGUGUGGCCUUGUAGAGGAGGUGUGUUGAUAGAGGCAGACUUUGGGGUUUCAAAUGCUCAAGCCAGGCCCACUGUCUUUCUGCUGCAUGUGGAUCCAGAUGUAGAACUCUUGGCUCCUUUUCCAACACCAUGUUUGCCUGUCACCGCCUGUCACCACACUUCCCACCAUGCAGAUAAUGGACCAAAUCUCUGAAACUGUAAGCCAG
ensembl:lncRNA